CCUCCAGUGAUCCACCCUCCUCAACCUCCCAAAGUGCUGGGUUUACAGGCGUGAGCCACAGUGCCUGGCUGCUGAACUCACCUUCUAUGUCUGUUCUUCCUCUUUCCUUCAAAUGAGGGCUCUUUGAGAUUCCCCUCUGUUCUCCACACACCUUCCCUGGCUUGUGGAACCCCUCUCCUUCACUUAGUGACACCUGAAGCCCAACACUUCUGGCACCUCCAGCUCCCACCCGCACCUCCCUCCUAGACUCUGUUCCCUUGGCUGCUGCCCCUGCUCGGGCCUGUCCUUUGUUCCCAGAACCGGGGCCUCAGCCUCCUCCCUCACUUCCAGUCUGGCUUCUGUUGACCUCUGCUCACACACCCUCCAUGGCUCCCCACUGCCUGCACCAUAAGUCUAAAUUCCUCUGCCUGUCAUUCAAGGCCUUGCGCAUCUUCCAGCAGCCUCCAGCCUCCCGCUCCGUGCCCUUGUGCUGGCUGCAUGGAUGCUCACAUUCCCUGAAUCCCCACUGCAUCCUGUUCACCCCCCAAUCAGUGCACACAUCUCAGUGAUCAUGGGCAUUAAUUAAUCCAUGAAUGAACUCAGGAAGCAGGAGGGAGAAAGAUGUUUCUGGAGCUCCUUCCCAGCUCGGGAGCUCCUAAGAGGCCAACUCCAAGUCUGAAAACCUCUAGGGCCUCAAUGCCAGCCCAGAGAAAAACAGGGAGUGGUUGUUAAAUGAAUAAAUUUAAAUGUCUAUCCGUAGUUUUGUUUGUUUUAAGACGAUGUCUCUCACGCCGGUAAUCCCAGCACUUUGGGAGGCCAAGCAUGAGCCACUGCGCCCAGCCUCAAAGAGCAUUCUUGCCCACUU
rnacentral:lncRNA from 1 species